AAGCCUGACGGAGCAAGACCGCGUGGGGGAGGAAGGUUCUUGGAUUGUAAACCCCUUUUCUCAGGGAAGAACNCAAUGACGGUACCUGAGGAAUAAGCAUCGGCUAACUCCGUGCCAGCAGCCGCGGUAAUACGGAGGAUGCAAGCGUUAUCCGGAAUAAUUGGGCGUAAAGCGUCCGUAGGUGGUCAUUCAAGUCUGCCGUUAAAGAGUGGGGCUUAACCCCACAAAGGCGGUGGAAACUGAAAGACUAGAGUGCAGUAGGGGUAGAGGGAAUUCCCGGUGUAGCGGUGAAAUGCGUAGAGAUCGGGAAGAACACCGGUGGCCGAA
rnacentral:rRNA from 1 species